rnacentral:rRNA from 1 species
CUAAAGCUAAAUAUUGGCCAGAGACCGAUAGCGCACAAGUAGAGUGAUCGAAAGCUGAAAAGCACUUUGGAAAGAGAGUCAAACAGCACGUGAAAUUGUUGAAAGGGAAGCGCUUGCAGCCAGACUUGCUUACAGUUGCUCAUCCGGGUUUUUACCCGGUGCACUCUUCUGUAGGCAGGCCAGCAUCAGUUUGGGCGGUAGGAUAAAGGUGUCUGUCACGUACCUCCUUUCGGGGAGGCCUUAUAGGGGAGAAGACAUACUAUCAGCCUGGACUGAGGUCCGCGCAUCUGCUAGGAUGCUGGCGUAAUGGCUGUAAGCGGCCCGU